rnacentral:rRNA from 1 species
UGACCUCAAAUCAAGUAGGACUACCCGCUGAACUUAA